rnacentral:lncRNA from 1 species
GCCAGCGCCGACCAAACCUACAAUCCUCCAGGUCCGCGAAAGUAAAAGUUCCGCGGCGCAAGGGGAACCCCCUCCUCAGAGGAGCCCUGCCGCCCCCCUCCUGGGGAGGGGGAAGGUCGCCGUCGCAUGCGACCAAAGAGAGGGAAAAUAAGUUGUUAUAUAUUAAUAAUUCUGGUAUCUUUCACCGUUACUCGAAAUACUCGCGAAUCAAAUGGUGCCGUGUCGUGGUGCGAAAGUUCGGACUUUUUGGACUUGUGGUACAGUGCUUUGUGGAAAAUUUGGAGUGAUUGGAGUAACCAUGAAAUUUCUGGUGUGCCUCCUGCUGGUCUCAUUGGCCUGUCACGGCGCCCUCGCCCGUCACUCGGACGACAAGCGCCCCAGCAGGCCUGUCCGGGAGAACCGGGACCACCCCCCGCGAGGAACCCGCGACUCCCACCGAGACCAGAGCCGCCGCGAGUCCCAGAUGUCAGCCUCCUUCACCAAGCGGGAGGAGCCACCCAAGCACCUCAAGGUCGUCCAAGGUGGAGUCCAGAGCUCCUUCCCGUACCAGUUCGUCAACCCGAUGAUCCCACCCUCCUUCGCCUACUCGCCCGGACCACAGUACUCCAACACGGUCCACCCAUACACACCCCACUUGAACGCCCCCUAUGACGCCUACUCUGCCCCUAAGGCAGGCACCUCCCCAGCCCCGACUGUCGUCAAGUACGAGUUCCUUCCAAAACCGGCACCCCAGACUGCGCCUGCCCCUGCCUAUUCCCAGCAAUCCUUCUCGCAAGGUCCCUCCCAUGGCCAUGGCCACUACGCCCAACCCGCGCCCUACCCCCAUCUCAUCCCCACCCCCGCCCCAGCAAUGCUCCUCGUCAUGGCCCCGCCCCACCCAGGCAACCCCUACGGUGCCCUCAUGCUAAUUCCCACCCAGAACCAAGGCGUCUUUCCCCAACAGCCUCUCACGCUCAUCCCUGUACCAACUGCAGUACCCUCUGGUGCUGGAUUCCGUGGUCCUGUUGCCUACCCCACUGUCGCCCAUCCUAACCUCAUUCCCGUUAGCUUCAAGCCUAUCCACUACCAGCGACAACCGUACCCGCAGUUCGUCCAUGCGCAGAACUUCGGUCAGAACUAUGCGCCCAAGUCGAUGAGUCAAAGCGCAGGAACGCAGUCUGAGGAGACGCAGAUGUCGGAGACGAACUCACAGAUGGACAUGACGAACGGACACACGCACAGCCAGAGCAGUACCAAAGAGCAGACGUUUGGCAACAAAGUACCAAAUUUUAGGCCCAUUUCCGUACCGUCGUAAGGACGGUAUCUGGAGAUUUUGCUAGCCUAAAUGAAAUGUUCCGUGAAAGGAAACAAAAAACAUGACGUCCUCCCUAAACUCUUCGCAAGCAGGGGUAAGGAUCGUUUCAUGAGUGUAGAUGAAACGCGUCCGAUAGGAACAGUUUGUUUUGUUCACACAGCAUCUUGAUUUUCCAAAUUUUGAUCAAAGUCAGCCGCUAAAGAUAAAUGACACAUACAUACAUAAAGCCGCUUUUAUAGCGCAGCCUCGCGCUCUGCGACACCCAAUCGCCAUUGCCCCCUAUCCUCCCAGAGAUCAUUAGGCAAUUGGCACCUUCUGAUCUCCUCCUCCACCCCUUGUCGCCACCCUUUCACAGGACGUCCACGCCGUCGCCUUCCGGGAGGCAAAUGACACAUACUUUCUUUAUAAGAAAAGGAGGAAAAUAUACAAAUACAUAGUGGAACUCCAAACAGGGGAAAAAACAAAUACAAAAACAUAAUUCACCUUUUAAGGAAUGGCUCCACCUGUUUUAAAUUUGAUCAUUUGAAUCGCAUGCGAGCUUUUACUUUUAAUUGAUGUUACAAAAACUAAAAAAUUGUGAAAUGUAAACGGUAUUUAUUUUUAAAUUGUAUAUCCACACGUUGAACCUCAAUUUUGUCUAAAAAAGAUUAUGCACGUUUGAAAAAAAGAUGGAAGAAGAGAGCCAUAUUGUUCUUUUGAAAACGUUCCCGGACGCAUUUCCAUCUGACACAAUACACUAAUUCACUCUGAAGUUGAAGCAGGAGUGAAACUUAGCACCUUGAAGUGAAGAAAAGGUCUACUUUUAACACAAUAAAAAAACCCAUGGUUUGACUGUAUGCUGUAGUUAUGUCAAUCGUUUAGAAUUGACCCUUCAGCAUUGAUGUGUUUAAGAUAUGAUGCCAUUCAGGAAUGAUAUUUUUGUGAAAAUUUGAAACUGAAUUGCUGAGGACUUUAACAAAUUAGAAAGCACACCUAUCUUCGCAAUCAACAACAAAUAAUGCGUCGGAUAGGAUAUUUAUGGUGCGGUAAAGAGUAACAUUAUUUAUAGUUAUUUUCUCUUGGAGAAAGAUGGAUCCCACGAAAAAUCAAUAUUAUCAUCACGUAGAAAAUGAGAAAAUACCUCAAAAAAUUAUGCCUGAAUAUUUCCUGGACCCAAACCGAGACAUCCGUUGGUGAUUCAGGACAAGAAUUUUAUGCGUCGCGAAAUCUGCGCAGGAAAAGUUAAACUGCCUUACACGGAAAAAAAAGGGUAGUCGACACAACCAGAAAGGUAGUUAAAACAGCGCCAGCUACGGUGCGGUAGUUACGAUAACUGGCGGUGGAGGUCACUACUAACCCGGUAGUUACAUCAACAUCCUCAUUAUGUUGAUGUAACUACCGGGUUGGUAGUGACCUCCACCAUGGUAGUUAUCGUAACUACCGCACGGUAGCUGGCGCUGUUUUAAGUACCUUUCUGGUUGUGUCGACUACCCUAUUUUUUUCCCUGUAAGAAAUGUGAAUAACACUGUAAGCGUUACAUAUUUUUCAGAAAGGCAUGACAAAUAUUUACCAAAGUUUAAAUUAAAACUCUCAAAGAGAUCUUCCUGAUUAUUUAUCAACAUUUUUCGCUAAUUUAUUGAACUAUCUGUGCUUAGAUAUUUCGUUGGAUUGUCGAUCUUUUUAAUACAAACGCAAAAACAGUGCAGAUUUAAUAAGGAUGCCUCCAUCAGUUUCAAUGUUCAUUACAGAUUUAUUAAAUUAACAAUUAUUCAGUCGAACCGUCCAACUUUGUCCUUUUUUAACCGUCCUCGUUUCUAUAGCCAAAGUAUACACAAAUAGUCCAGCCACCCUCUUUGAAAAUUCAAAGGGUCAAGGGAUAAUGUUAACCAUUUUAUUAAUGUAAGCACCUCAGUACCUGAACCUGUUCCUUUUUCUUGUUGAUAUGUAACAUUUCUCUUAUCUGAUCUUUCCUUCUUGUUUUUUAUUCCACAACAAAUCAAAAUGUUUAACAUUUGUUGAGUCUUCAAAACGAAAAUAUAUGUUUCAAGAAGAUAAAAACAUAUUCUGGCUUGAAAAUAAGCUGUGGAUCCACAUCAAGUUACUGUUAAUUACCACAUAGGUUAGCUUAUUUUUAGCUCACUGUCAGUUGAAGCAGAUGUUUCGUUAUAGGGAGCAAUAAGUUACAAUAUUUUAUGUUUACUCCGCUCUACCUUCCAGUACUUAAACUUUUAAGCUAAAGGGCAUACCAAAUUCUUUAGUGUAAGUUUGUAAUUUUGUUUUAUUGUCUUGAUUUAAAUGUUUCCUUUUUAUAUAGGUAAUUUAAUUCUGUAAAUAAACCUAUUCAAAGUUAUUUCAUAAAGAAUUUGCUUUCAUUUUUUUUUAUUUCUCCUUCAUUCUAAUUACAAAAGAUUGCUUCGCAUAUUUAAAUUUACUCACGAACACAUUAAAAUUUAUAACAUUUUUUAUUUAAACAUGAAAGCUCUUUACCAUACUCAGACAGAAAAGUGUAUACACCUACCUACAUCCAUUGUGCACAGCAGUAAUGAGGGGCCGUGUCGAAACGAACACUAGAUGAAUGUCAAUACAACUCCUGAAUGCAACUAUUCGGGCUCCAUGGAUGUGCGUGUUGCAUACGCACAGAGGUGAAGGCGUUUUGCAGACACUAAUCGCGCUUGGUGGAGCAAAUCAGUGAGCGGAGUUAUGAAAACGUAGAAUCAUUAAAAGGGCUUAUCGAUAUUAAUUCGGAACGUAGAGGAUUGAGAUGUAGUUUCCUUGAUUUUCUUGUAAAAUUUCUUUCAAGAAACACCUCGUGCUGUUAAUAAUGUGAAGAAAUUAACAUCAAAAUUUGCAGUUUGCGUCGAAAACGUUAAGUCCAACCUCUCGGAAAGGCUCGUUCAAUUGUGUGAUGGGCUUCAAUGCGAGUAUUUAAAAUGAAAAAGUGCCUUCAAUUCUUCAUUUACACCUCGAGGACUUCUACUCGGCAUGAAUAAAUGCUCUACUAUAAUAUGCUCAGCACUUAUCAAAACUGAAUCACAAAAAUACUCACAUCCUACAGGGUGUCCGGAAGUUAUCGUACUUAACUUUCAGGAUAGCUUUUUCGGCUUAAAAUAUGACUUUUUAUCCCGAUGCAUAUAUGCCCA